UCUGCGAAGGGCAGCCACCUAUAGCAGCACCCAGGGAACUGGGGGUUAAGAGCUUUGCUCAAGAACCUGCAGAUGUGCUGAGGCUGAACGAGCGACCAUCUGAUUACACACAAGCUUAGCUCACUGAGCCACACGCUGCCCCACAUGUAGGACGACUUCAGGCAGUUUCUUGUCAGUUCCCCAGGGUUGAGUACAAGGACAUCACUGUGUGAAGUGAACAUCUGUUCCAAGCAGCAUGUAGCCCUGGAGCAGUGAGGGAAAUAGAGUAGCGUGAGCUUGCUGUUGAUGAGGUUCAUUCUACCAAUGCCGGGAAGAGAAACACCCUGCUGAAGGUAUCCUGUGUAGGCAGGAUUUGUUCAUAGCAUUAGUGCAUUAAUGGUUUUGCUUAGAGAAACAGAG